AGAUUAAGUUAUUAAGGGCGCACGGUGGAUGCCUUGGCACUAGAAGCCGAUGAAGGACGUUACUAACGACGAUAUGCUUUGGGGAGCUGUAAGUAAGCUUUGAUCCAGAGAUUUCCGAAUGGGGAAACCCAGCAUGAGUUAUGUCAUGUUAUCGAUAUGUGAAUACAUAGCAUAUCAGAAGGCACACCCGGAGAACUGAAACAUCUUAGUACCCGGAGGAAGAGAAAGAAAAUUCGAUUCCCUUAGUAGCGGCGAGCGAAACGGGAAGAGCCCAAACCAACAAGCUUGCUUGUUGGGGUUGUAGGACACUCUAUACGGAGUUACAAAGGACGACAUUAGACGAAUCAUCUGGAAAGAUGAAUCAAAGAAGGUAAUAAUCCUGUAGUCGAAAAUGUUGUCUCUCUUGAGUGGAUCCUGAGUACGACGGAGCACGUGAAAUUCCGUCGGAAUCUGGGAGGACCAUCUCCUAAGGCUAAAUACUCUCUAGUGACCGAUAGUGAACCAGUACCGUGAGGGAAAGGUGAAAAGCACCCCGGAAGGGGAGUGAAAUAGAACCUGAAACCGUGUGCUUACAAGUAGUCAGAGCCCGUUAAUGGGUGAUGGCGUGCCUUUUGUAGAAUGAACCGGCGAGUUACGAUUUGAUGCAAGGUUAAGCAGUAAAUGUGGAGCCGUAGCGAAAGCGAGUCUGAAUAGGGCGUUUAGUAUUUGGUCGUAGACCCGAAACCAGGUGAUCUACCCUUGGUCAGGUUGAAGUUCAGGUAACACUGAAUGGAGGACCGAACCGACUUACGUUGAAAAGUGAGCGGAUGAACUGAGGGUAGCGGAGAAAUUCCAAUCGAACCUGGAGAUAGCUGGUUCUCUCCGAAAUAGCUUUAGGGCUAGCCUCAAGUGAUGAUUAUUGGAGGUAGAGCACUGUUUGGACGAGGGGCCCCUCUCGGGUUACCGAAUUCAGACAAACUCCGAAUGCCAAUUAAUUUAACUUGGGAGUCAGAACAUGGGUGAUAAGGUCCGUGUUCGAAAGGGAAACAGCCCAGACCACCAGCUAAGGUCCCAAAAUAUAUGUUAAGUGGAAAAGGAUGUGGCGUUGCCCAGACAACUAGGAUGUUGGCUUAGAAGCAGCCAUCAUUUAAAGAGUGCGUAAUAGCUCACUAGUCGAGUGACACUGCGCCGAAAAUGUACCGGGGCUAAACAUAUUACCGAAGCUGUGGAUUGUCCUUUGGACAAUGGUAGGAGAGCGUUCUAAGGGCGUUGAAGCAUGAUCGUAAGGACAUGUGGAGCGCUUAGAAGUGAGAAUGCCGGUGUGAGUAGCGAAAGACGGGUGAGAAUCCCGUCCACCGAUUGACUAAGGUUUCCAGAGGAAGGCUCGUCCGCUCUGGGUUAGUCGGGUCCUAAGCUGAGGCCGACAGGCGUAGGCGAUGGAUAACAGGUUGAUAUUCCUGUACCACCUAUAAUCGUUUUAAUCGAUGGGGGGACGCAGUAGGAUAGGCGAAGCGUGCGAUUGGAUUGCACGUCUAAGCAGUAAGGCUGAGUAUUAGGCAAAUCCGGUACUCGUUAAGGCUGAGCUGUGAUGGGGAGAAGACAUUGUGUCUUCGAGUCGUUGAUUUCACACUG
rnacentral:rRNA from 1 species